AGGGUAAAUGUAUAACAUCAUUAUGCUGGCGUCCUGAUGGCAAGGUUGUUGUCUGGGGACUUGAAGACGGUAUGGUUUUACUGCAUGAUGUUGAAGUGACUGAUAUAUAUGGAAACUACCUUUCUACUGAAGAAGCUAAUGGAUCUAAAGUGAUCAAAUAGAGGAGCUUUGGAAGUUAUGUUAGAUUUAAAGUUCAUAGAUGAUGUUCUUUCUGGAGGUGAUUCCACUGUCGAUGAGGAGUUGUCUAGAAGUUCAAAGCCAUAGUAUUCGUUUAGGCAAAAGGAUCAAAGACAGAAAAAGUCUGCCAUCAGAACAUGUAUAGAGGGAUUGGUACAUUUGUCUUUUGCAGAGAUUGGAUCCCGUGGACUGGCUCGCGUUAGAGCCAUAUCUGUGGGAGAAUGAAAGACAGUCAUAUUUACAGCAUGCUGUCCUCCUCAGGUUCUUCAUACAACUUAAUCGGUUGUAUGUGGAUACAGUGCAGAAACUGCCCUUGAAUUCAGAAUCAAAUAUUUUGAGAUGCUCCACAGUUUCCCGGUUUAAAUACUUCCAAUCAGUGUACCUGCGUUGUCUUCAAGGAAGACAUCUAAAGCAACUACUGGUGUUUCUAUAGAAGGUUUUUCAUCGAAGAGUCAGAAAUCUUAUAGUAAUGGAGAAAUUUCUUGAACGAUUGAUUUGGACGACAGAUCGUCUUCAGGAGUAGCAAGUUCCAUUGUCGAAGUCUUUUAUGCAGGUUGGCAGCAGAUUUGGAGAGAACACAUUGAAACUGGGAUCCAUCCUGACUAAUGGUCAAGUGGGCAUAUUCAAGGACAGUUCAGCUGCCGCCUUAUCGAAAUUCAGUGAUGUUUUUCCUGUGCAGGCCGCGGGUCUUCUUUCAUCCUUCACCACAACUCGACCAGAUGCUUGAAUGAGAAUGCCUUGCCAUAUGCCAAUUGAUAUUUACAUCGGAAGCCACGACAGGUAAAACAUGAGGCUUUUUCACACUUUGGCUUCCGGCUUUUUUAAGUUUCACCUGAGAUUCUGGGGUAAUCCUGGAUUAGUGGUGCGGCCCAAAAGCUGUAUUUAUAGGAUAAUCGAAUGAAAAAGAGAAUACCUUUUGGAUUGAGUGGGAGAGGGGCAAGAGCUGGUGUUGGUGAAGCGAGAUCAAGAAAGGCUUCAUAUUUGUUGUGGUGUGUCUGUAGGAAUAAGUGAGCUGGUUCAGCAUUUUUUAUUGCAUACCUUUAUUAGGCGCAGACAUUUGCAAAGCAGAAAAUGGAUGUUAUACUAUCAUAGGAGAUGGCGGCAACAGUGUCGAGGGAAGUUCGUUUUGUAAAAUGGAGACUUCCAAGUGAGGCAUAUGCUUUGGACAGAAAGCUAUGAGACGCCCCAUCAAUCAUGUGCAGAUCACUUGUUCUUAUCAUUCAAAUUUUGUAUCUCAUGCAUUAUUUCAAUUCCGUAGACAAGAUCGAGUUACAGCAAUGUAUAAUUUUGGCUUCCUGGAUGGCUGGAUCUUUUUCCUUACUACCUUGUGCUCUUUUUUUCUUUUUGUGUAGCUUAAUGCAUUUUCACUACAUUGUAAUAGCUUUGAAUGUAACGUCUUUUGAAUUCAACCUAAGCCAUCCAUUGCUGUAAA